ensembl:lncRNA
UUUUUAAGGAAAGCAGGGGUUUUAGGCAGGAUUUGAUGCAUAAGGUGUGUGUAGAUAUUAAUGGUAGGGGACAAUGUGAGUGAUGCGUACCUUUAGUAGGAAAACCUAUUAUCUGAUCCACACUCCGGGACAGAAGAGGGCGGUAUUGCACCAAUAAGCUGGAUGCCAACCGCCGUUAAACUGGAAAGAAGUUACAAUGAGUUACAAUGGAACAGAUUAUGUUUAUCUGCUGUAGAGUGACUGAUGAAGGAAUGCUGCCAUCAAAGCAUUUGUAUCUUCUGUGGUGGAGCAGGACCUGCAAGGAAAGGGGAAAAAAAGGAAAAACCUGAAACAAAAGAAUAAAGUAGUGGUGCUCAUGGAGAUUAGCACACGAUUGUUUGGAGCAGACACAGCAGCAGUCAGAUUGUCCUGCAUGUGUUCUUCUGCUCUCGCUUCAAGGUAGUGUGGUUCAGAGAGCCGUCAUCAAGGUCUUCCUCAUCCUGUUGCUCAACGACAUCCCCGUUGAGAAGAGUGAGAUUGUGAAGCACAGCGCAGCAGCAGAACUGUCUCAGCUGUGUUGAGAUGAUAGUAAGAUGUGGGGUUCACCGUCUGUAAAUACAUGAUUGUUAGAACAGUUAGUUUGAAAGAAGCUUUGUUUCAUGUGUUGUUGACUUGUACAUGUCUGUAUUUAUUGUGAUGCUAACAUUUAUACAUUCUUUUAAUCAUUUAGACAUGUUUCUUGUUGUCAGUAAAUAAAAUAUAAAUAUUUG